GAUGAACGCUGGCGGCGUGCCUAAUACAUGCAAGUCGAGCGAACAGACCAGGCUCUUACUCCUCUGACGUUAGCGGCGGACGGGUGAGUCACAUGAGUAUAACCUACCUAUCUGACUGGGAUCACUACGGAACACCGGAUCUAACACCGGAUAACAUCUUGCACCGUAUGGGUCAACGGAGAAUUUCGGUCUUGCUGGCUCUUAUCGAUGGAUCUCAGUCGGAUUAGCUAGUUGGUAAGGUAACGGCUUACCAAGGCGACGAUGCGUAGCCGAACUGAGAGGGGGGUCGGCCGCACGGGAACGGAAACACGGUCCAGACUCCUACGGGAGGCAGCAGUAGGGAAUCUGGCGCAAUGGGCGAAAGCCUAACAGAGCAGCGCCGCGUGUGUGGAGAAGGUCUGCGGAUCGGAAAACUCUGUUAUUAGGGAAAAACAGAUGUGUAAGUAAAUAUGCACGUCGUGACGGUACCUGAUCAGAAAGCACCGGCUAACUACGUG
rnacentral:rRNA from 1 species